rnacentral:rRNA from 1 species
CAACAGGGAUUGCCUCAGUAGCGGCGAGUGAAGCGGCAAGAGCUCAGAUUUGAAAUCUCACCUAGUGUGCGAGUUGUAAAUUGCAGGUUGGAGUCUCGGGUUAGACGUGUGUGCAAGUCCCUUGGAACAGGGUGCCACUGAGGGUGAGAGCCCCGUAGCGUGCAUGUCGACACCUGUGAGGCCCUUCUGACGAGUCGAGUUGUUUGGGAAUGCAGCUCUAAGUGGGUGGUAAAUUCCAUCUAAGGCUAAAUAUUGGCGAGAGACCGAUAGCGAACAAGUACUGUGAAGGAAAGAUGAAAAGCACUUUGAAAAGAGAGUGAAACAGCACGUGAAAUUGUUGAAAGGGAAGGGUAUUGGGCUCGACAUGGGAUUUACGCAUCGUUGCCUCUCGUGGGCGGCGCUCUGGGUUUUUCCUGGGCCAGCAUCGGUUUUCGUUGCAGGAUAAGGACAAUUGGAAUGUGGCUCCUCGGAGUGUUAUAGCCUUUUGUAGAUGCUGCGUAUGGGGACCGAGGGCUGCGGCGGACUUGUUUCGUCUCGGAUGCUGGCACAACGGCGCAAUACCGCCCGUCUUGAAAACAAGGGGCCCAAAA